rnacentral:rRNA from 1 species
UACGAAAGGUGCAAGCGUUGUUCGGAAUGACUGGGCGUAAAGAGCACGUAGGUGGGCUUGUAAGUCGGAUGUGAAAGCCCCAGGCUUAACCUGGGAAUGGCACCCGAAACUAUAAGUCUUGAAUGCUUGAGAGGUUGGUGGAAUUCCUGGUGUAGGAGUGAAAUCCGUAGAUAUCAGGAGGAAUAUCGGAGGCGAAGGCGGCCAACUGGUGGUGCAUUGACACUGAGGUGCGAAAGCGUGGGGAGCAAACAGG